rnacentral:tRNA from 1 species
ACCUGGUUAGCUCAGUCAGUGGAGCAUGUGACUCGUGAUCUUGGGUUUGUGAGUUCAAGCCCUACAUUGGGUA